rnacentral:rRNA from 1 species
CAGUAAGCGGAGGAAAAGAAACUAAAAAGGAUUCCCUUAGUAGCGGCGAGCGAACAGGGAUAAGCCCAGCACUGAACCUCGUGUCUCCGGAUACCGAGGAAUGUAGUGUUCAGGAGAGAGGUGGUUUGCCUGUCCGGUGAUUGUCCAAGUCCCCAUGAUCGGGGCUAGAGUCCGCAGAGGGUGUCAGGCCCGUAGUGACGCGCCGCGACCGUGAACACUUUAUCUCCUAAGAGUCGGGUUGCUUGAGAGUGCAGCCCUAAGCGGGAGGUAAACUCCUUCUAAGGCUAAAUACCGCCACGAGACCGAUAGCAAACAAGUACCGCGAGGGAAAGUUGAAAAGAACUUUGAAGAGAGAGUUCAAGAGUGCGUGAAACCGUUCAGGGGGUUAAACGGGUGGGCCCUCGAAGGUCGAACGGCAUCUACUCCCGUUACCUGCAUACGAGCCUGCGCUUGGACGAGCCGCAUUCUGCGGCCGCCGGGUGUGGUACGCUUGGGGCGUGCAGGGACCGCAAGUUGGAUGCCUAGUAGGACUCCGCAACCGGCUGGGCUCGGUCGUCAGACGGGUCUUGAGGAUCGGCCUCCUUGUGGGGCCGUAUUUUUGAGAUUCCCGGCGAUCGCUCGGCCGUUGAGUGCUGCCUCGCUGUUCCUUAGAAUGGACGAGCGUUUCGUACUCGCCUGAAAUGGGCGGGUCGGGGCGUUGUCGGUUCGUUCGAGGCUCCGGUGAGAAGCGCGGAGAGUAGGUCGGGUCCCACCCGACCCGUCUUGAAACACGGACCAAGGAGUCUAACAUGUGCGCGAGUCGUCGAGUUGUACCAAACUCGAAGGCGUAAUGAAAGUAAAGGCUCGGUUUCCGAGCUGAGGGGAGAUCCCGUUCUGCUUCUGUAGCGCGGGCGCAUCCCCGGGGCGUCUAUACUGCGUUGCCAGUGAGACGAACCUAGAGCGUACACGUUGGGACCCGAAAGAUGGUGACCUAUGCCUGGCCAGGACGAAGCCAGGGGAAACCCUGGUGGAGGUCCGCAGCGAUUCUGACGUGCAAAUCGAUCGUCGGAGUUGGGUAUAGGGGCGAAAGACUAAUCGAACCAUCUAGUAGCUGGUUCCCCCCGAAGUUUCCCUCAGGAUAGCUGGUGCUCGAAAUAAGACACGGAGUUUCAUCCGGUAAAGCGAAUGAUUAGAGGCCUUGGGGUCGAAACGACCUCAACCUAUUCUCAAACUUUCAAUGGGUGAGAAGCCCGGCUUAGCCUAAGCGAAGCCGUGGCAGUCGAAUCCGAGCGCCCAGUGGGCCACUUUUGGUAAGCAGAACUGGCGCUGUGGGAUGAACCAAACGUCUGGUUAAGGCGCCCAAACAACGCACAUUCCGGAACCCACAAAAGGAGUUGGUUGCUAAAGACAGCAGGACGGUGGCCAUGGAGGUCGGAACCCGCUCAGGAGUGUGUAACAACUCACCUGCCGAAGCAACUAGCCCUUAAAAUGGGAGGCGCUAUAGCGUUGUGCCUAUACCAGACCGCCGGUGGCAGAGCCUGCCCCCUGUAAAAUGGGGUGCACUGAGGCCCCGGUGAGUAGGGGGGUCGCCGCGGUGUGCGUAGAAGGGUCUGGGCGUGAGCCUGCCUGGAGCCGCCGCUGGUGCAGAUCUUGGUGGUAGUAGCAAAUACUCCAGAGAGAUCCUGGAGGACUGACGUGGAGAAGGGUUUCAUGUGAACAGUGGUUGAACAUGAGUCAGUCGGUCCUAAGCCGCAGGUGAAAUCCGGCCCAGGGAACGGCGCGUCGCAUACAGAAUCCACCAAAGAAUGAAAACUCGAGAAAAGUGCGUGUGUCUCGUGAGAACAUGAGGGGUUGUUCCCGCUGUUGACCACACUUUUUAGGAGGGUUUUUUUCUUGGAAAGACUUUGUGCCACGAAGCGCCGCUGGGUUAGGCGAAAGGGAAUCCGGUUCUAAUUCCGGAACCCGGUUGCGGAUACGUCCGAGCUCUCGUAGCUCGUCAUGGUAACAUGACAUGACCCGGAGAAGCUGGCGGGGACCCCGGGAAGAGUUUUCUUUUCUGCUUGAGGGGUCGAGACCCUGGAAUUCUGUCGUGGAGCGAUAGGGUUUUGACCCCGAAGAGCGCCGCAGGUCUGCGGCGUCCGUGGGUUCUUGCCGGCCCAUGAAAAUCCGGGGGAGGGCCACGUGGACAUUCCAACCGGACCGUACCGAUAACCGCAUCAGGUCUCCAAGGUAACAGCC